GAGAAGGCACGCUGGUGUGUAGGUGAAGUCCCUGCGGAUGGAGCUGAGACCAGUCGAAGAUACCAGCUGGCUGCAACUGUUUAUUAAAAACACAGCACUGUGCAAACACGAAAGUGGACGUAUACGGUGUGACGCCUGCCCGGUGCCGGAAGGUUAAUUGAUGGGGUUAUCCGUAAGGAGAAGCUCUUGAUCGAAGCCCCGGUAAACGGCGGCCGUAACUAUAACGGUCCUAAGGUAGCGAAAUUCCUUGUCGGGUAAGUUCCGACCUGCACGAAUGGCGUAAUGAUGGCCAGGCUGUCUCCACCCGAGACUCAGUGAAAUUGAACUCGCUGUGAAGAUGCAGUGUACCCGCGGCAAGACGGAAAGACCCCGUGAACCUUUACUAUAGCUUGACACUGAACAUUGAGCCUUGAUGUGUAGGAUAGGUGGGAGGCUUUGAAGCGUGGACGCCAGUCUGCGUGGAGCCAACCUUGAAAUACCACCCUUUAAUGUUUGAUGUUCUAACGUUGGCCCCUUACCGGGGUUGCGGACAGUGUCUGGUGGGUAGUUUGACUGGGGCGGUCUCCUCCCAAAGCGUAACGGAGGAGCACGAAGGUUAGCUAAUCCUGGUCGGACAUCAGGAGGUUAGUGCAAUGGCAUAAGCUAGCUUGACUGCGAGCGUGACGGCGCGAGCAGGUGCGAAAGCAGGUCAUAGUGAUCCGGUGGUUCUGAAUGGAAGGGCCAUCGCUCAACGGAUAAAAGGUACUCCGGGGAUAACAGGCUGAUACCGCCCAAGAGUUCAUAUCGACGGCGGUGUUUGGCACCUCGAUGUCGGCUCAUCACAUCCUGGGGCUGAAGUAGGUCCCAAGGGUAUGGCUGUUCGCCAUUUAAAGUGGUACGCGAGCUGGGUUUAGAACGUCGUGAGACAGUUCGGUCCCUAUCUGCCGUGGGCGCUGGAGAAUUGAGGGGGGCUGCUCCUAGUACGAGAGGACCGGAGUGGACGCAUCACUGGUGUUCGGGUUGUCAUGCCAAUGGCACUGCCCGGUAGCUAAAUGCGGAAGAGAUAAGUGCUGAAAGCAUCUAAGCACGAAACUUGCCCCGAGAUGAGUUCUCCCUGAGACUUUAAGUCUCCUGAAGGAACGUUGAAGACGACGACGUUGAUAGGCCGGGUGUGUAAGCGCAGCGAUGCGUUGAGCUAACCGGUACUAAUGAACCGUGAGGCUUAACCUUACAACGCCGAAG
rnacentral:rRNA from 1 species